AUCUUACUUUGGGCGAAGGGAAUUCUCAUUCAUUUUGGGAAAUGACGUAUAUUUACGUUAUCAGUCGUUCAACAAUGCUGCUCAGAUGGAAAGCUCCAUCAAAAGGGAGUGCCCGUUUGAAAUUGAUAUCAGUGCUGUAUACAAUGUAGAUGUAUUUCCUUCUCUUGAGUUUUAGCAUGUAAAAUGACUACUUUGAAACGUAGUGCCCGAAGCAUGAUCCCCAGAAAUAUACCUAGUGACUACUUUCCUAGGACCUCUUUGUAUGUGUGCAGCCGUGAGCUGUCUAUAUGUAGGCAUGUUAGUCUUCUUUGUGGACUAGUUUCUAUUAAAAGAAACAGAAUUCCUUCCAACACUCGAUUGAAAAACUGUUCGUUUAUUUUCUUUAUUAACCAAUUAACUUGUGAAAGUAUCCUGGAAGAUUGCGUUUUUAACUUGAACAUUUUCAACAGCCUGCUAAGCGUAAUGCGUAUUCUGGUGAAAAUGCAUUCACUCCGAUGGAGGAGUUAGUUUUCAAUAUUGAUAUGUCAGAUUAUGACGAUGUUCAGUAUUGCUGCUCGGGUGCUAAUAUUUGCAAAAAGUGCUGGCCACUAAUGACAAUUGCUAUUAAAGUGAUUGAUUCUGCACUCAGAGAGAAUUUUAGCUUUACUCACAUUCUCUGGGUAUAUAAUGUUCCGCGUGGUGUUCAUUGUUGGGUUUGCGAUGCACGAGCAAGGUGGCUUAAAUUUAUUUAGCAUUUAAUUGUAUACAAACUUCGCCUUUAUUCAAAGGGUUUGUAUACGCUAUGUAUCCUCCCUGCAGGUUGAACAAUGCACAGAGAGCAGCUAUCGCAGACUGUUUUCAUGUAUAUAAGGGAAGCCAAAGUGGCUGUGAGAAAGUUUUCUUAGAGGGUCCUUUGGUCUUGAUCACUUGUUGGUCUUUUUCAAGUCUUUAUUAAUCGGAUCAGUGUUAGCUACUCAUCCACCUUGGUCUCUACAGGUGGAGAAAAAUUUCUUAAAUGGCAAGUUGAAGGCCAUCACAGCUUACUUCAACCACCCCUCAGUGUAAAGGAUUUUAUAACAGUCCCACUUCUGCGAAUUUUGGAUCAAAGUGUGGGUUCUUCAAAAGCUGCACUAGUCCAUGGGUUCUGAUUGUACAACACCAAGACUCCAGAAUAUAUGUGAAAACCUGGAAGAACUUGGUGAAGUGGCCUCAGUUAGCCUCAUAAGAGAUCUCUGUGACUAGCGAAAUUUGUGACCUUCUUUAAUUUCGGUUCUGAUUCAUUGUUUAGGACUCUACUAAGAUCAGAGAUUUUUCGUGCCAAAAAAAAAAAAAAGAUUGGGGAUUUCAUGGGAGCAUUCUGGGAUAAGCUGCCCAUGGAUGAGGCUAAGGAUGUUAUAUCAUUUGAUACUGUGAUGUUGGAGAUAAUGACCUGGUCAUAUAAUUCAUACUGCUUUUUGUUAGUCAGAAGUCCAUUAAGUCGACAAUUCUCGGUAUCUUGUCUCUCACUUUUGGCUGAAGCUGAUUUAAGAUGUUACUUCUCGCCCCUGGAUUUAGUAGAGCGUGGAAAACUGUAACUAUAAUUAUCAUAGCCCCAUAGAUUUUCUAUUAAGUUUAGAUGUGAAUGCACUUGACUGACGUGGAAAACUCUUAGCACCCUCUUUGGAAACAAACAGAAGACUGCAUUCUAUUCCUACACUACAUAAGCUUCAAAAGAGGAAAAAUCCAAAUGACUUGAAUGUUACAGAAUUGAGGUACAAGAGUAGUUAUGGAUCUCCAAGAGUCUUCCAUGUUUACGUAUGUACUUGUCCAUUUAGACCGUAUAUAUAGUUAUAUACUUGUCCAUUUAGAAAGUAUGCAGUCUAUUGGUAGUGGUUAGAGCUCAUGUCUAUUGGCACAGGCUAUUGGUAGUGGUUAGAGCUCAUGGCUAAGGAAUAUUUGGUUCGGCAGAGGCAUCCUGUAGCUG